AUUACAGAGUUGCAAAACUCCCUAAACCAUUGUGAACGUUACCUAAACCGUUGCUUCGGCGGGCGGCCCCGGGGUUUACCCCCCGGGCGCCCCUGGGCCCCACCGCGGGCGCCCGCCGGAGGUCACCAAACUCUUGUUAAUUUAUGGCCUCUCUGAGUCUUCUGUACUGAAUAAGUCAAAACUUUCAACAACGGAUCUCUUGGUUCUGGCAUCGAUGAAGAACGCAGCGAAAUGCGAUAAGUAAUGUGAAUUGCAGAAUUCAGUGAAUCAUCGAAUCUUUGAACGCACAUUGCGCCCGCCAGUAUUCUGGCGGGCAUGCCUGUUCGAGCGUCAUUUCAACCAUCAAGCCCCCGGGCUUGUGUUGGGGACCUGCGGCUGCCGCAGGCCCUGAAAAGCAGUGGCGGGCUCGCUGUCACACCGAGCGUAGUAGCAUACAUCUCGCUCUGGGCGUGCUGCGGGUUCCGGCCGUUAAACCACCUUUUAACCCAAGGUUGACCUCGGAUCAGGUAGGAAGACCCGCUGAACUUAAGCAUAUCAAUAAGCGGAGGAAAAGAAACCAACAGGGAUUGCCCUAGUAACGGCGAGUGAAGCGGCAACAGCUCAAAUUUGAAAUCUGGCUUCGGCCCGAGUUGUAAUUUGCAGAGGAAGCUUUAGGCGCGGCACCUUCUGAGUCCCCUGGAACGGGGCGCCAUAGAGGGUGAGAGCCCCGUAUAGUUGGAUGCCUAGCCUGUGUAAAGCUCCUUCGACGAGUCGAGUAGUUUGGGAAUGCUGCUCAAAAUGGGAGGUAAAUUUCUUCUAAAGCUAAAUACCGGCCAGAGACCGAUAGCGCACAAGUAGAGUGAUCGAAAGAUGAAAAGCACUUUGAAAAGAGGGUUAAAUAGCACGUGAAAUUGUUGAAAGGGAAGCGCUUGUGACCAGACUUGCGCCGGGCAGAUCAUCCGGU
rnacentral:rRNA from 2 species